UUCGGAGUGUAAACCACUGUUGCCCGGGACGAAAGCGCUCUAUUGGGGGCGUUGACGGUACCGGGUGAGGAAGCACCGGCUAACUCCGUGCCAGCAGCCGCGGUAAUACGGAGGGUGCAAACGUUGUCCGGAAUCACUGGGCGUAAAGGGCGCGUAGGCGGCUCAUAAAGGCUGUGGUGAAAGUUCGGGGCUCAACCUCGAAUCGGCCGUGGCGACUUGUGGGCUGGAGCACUGUAGAGGCGGGUGGAAUUCCGGGUGUAGCGGUGGAAUGCGUAGAGAUCCGGAAGAACACCAGUGGCGAAGGCGGCCCGCUGGGCAGUGGCUGACGCUGAGGCGCGACAGCGUGGGGAGCAAACAGGAUUAGAUACCCUGGUAGUCCACGCCGUAAACGAUGGGCACUAGGUGCUUGGGGGAGCGACCCUCUGAGUGCCGGCGCUAACGCAUUAAGUGCCCCGCCUGGGGAGUACGGCCGCAAGGCUGAAACUCAAAUGAAUUGACGGA
rnacentral:rRNA from 1 species